rnacentral:lncRNA from 1 species
UAUUCUAUAACACUGAGGUGUUAAGGCUUAUACCACCAUCGAACUAAUACCAUAUUAUGUCUUAAUAAUGACAAUAAUUCAAAAUCAUGUGAAGUUGUUUGAAAAUUGCACGGGGAUUCCGGAUUUUUGUAUGUGGAUACUGAAGCCUCCAUGAGUCUCCAACUCAAAAAUGUCUGGAUCGGUCUGCCAUCUAGCGUACAGUAUGCAAUUACAUCCACACAGUAACGCAGAGCUCAUCGUGAGAAUGUGAUAUGUUCCAGAAGUUCCUAACGCAGCAGCCACCGACUCCAUUUAUUACGUUGAGGAAAGACCUUCAAGAUUGGGACGAGAGCUGGACGGAGAGAGAGAGCGAAUGA